rnacentral:lncRNA from 10 species
AGGACACGCAGAAACAGCACCCUCCUGGAGAAAGGGCCCCACUCAGCCUGCCCUGGCCUUGCUGGAGGUGGGGCUUUUCGGGAAAAGAACGAGGAGGCUGAAGACAGGAAAGCCAGCGGGUGGGGAGGCUGGGACCCUGGGGGAGGGGUGGGAACAUUGUGAAGGCCACACCCCAAGCCCUGGGGCCCUGUAUUGGGUCUUUGUUGCAUUGCUAUAAAGAAAUACCUGAGACUGGGUGAUUUAUAAAGGAGAGAAAUUCGACUGGCUCAUGGUUCUGCAGGCCGUACAGGAAGCCUGGUGCUGGCAGAUCUGCUUCUAGGGAGUUCUCAGGAAGCUUCUGGUCAUGGUGGAAGGCAAUGCGGAGCCAGCGAGUCACAUGAUGAGACCCCGAGCAAGAAAGAGAGGCCGGGAGGUGCCACACUCUACAACAACCAGCAACCUGGAGCUGUGCGGACUGAGACUGAGAUGCAUCGCUGAAACUCUCUUUAGGUGUUCCCUACCAUUUCUUCUUGGAAAAGAAGGUUUUACCUCCUGGGAUUUUUGAGAACCUCUAACUUCUCCAUUGGGGACCAUCUCCAGGUACCACCAAAAAAGAGCACAACAGCAGCCUUGCGGAUAAGUCCUGGUCUGGAGUCAGCCACCGCUGCACACACCACUCAGAGCUGCAUCAUCGGGUUACCCCUGGAAAGGCUGCCCACACACCCACAUCCAGGGGUGUCUCGUCACUGCUGACGACUAGCACGGUGAAUGUUCUGCUUCGUGGAGAGACUAUCAGAGCUGGAAUAUCCAUAGGCUUAUAAUCUUCAUGAAUACUUCCUCUCUCAAUUGCCGUGAAAUAAUAUGGCUCCUCAGUCCAUGAAGCUGGCAUCAAUAACUGAAAUAGGCUCGGAAAAGUCCGGGCAAGAGGAACCUGAAAGCUCAGCAUGAGAUGAAGUGGCUGGAGGCACGUGAGUCCUGCACUGAUAGAGGCCGGUUCUGUCAAGCCUCACCUGGAUGAUGUGUGUGACUCUUCCCAUAGAAAGGAGCAGGCUCUCUCAUGAAGCCUCCAUUCUAGCAUUUUGUGAUCAUCUAUGACCUUAGAGGGGUCCUCUAUAACCCUGAGUCCCAAACAGGUGAAUACAGAGUGGGCUCACACUUAUUUCUCCAUUAUUCCUGUGUUCUUUCAGGAGGCUGACCAUCAAACCUACUUAGAAGUCAGACCUUGAAUAGGCUGAAUAUGAUCUCAGAAGGAGGCAGAACCAGCAGGAAUGGGGGGCGUCGUCCACUCGGAGUCAUUCCGCGGGGCUCCCUGCCUCGUUCUUUCUCUUUGUCCUUGUUACGUAAAAUGUCUUUCACUCUCAACCUGAUUUUUAUUCUAUAAGUAUAAGCUUGGUUUCCGUCAUUAAAUGCAUGACAUGUGGUGUUGGUUUACAAUGUUUGAUGCUGUACUCUGUCUGCGGCUCCAUGUGAUCUUUUUGAAUGACCAUAGACAUGCCUAAUGCUGCCUUCAUACUCUAUACAGACAUUCAGUGAACCUCUAUUAAAUCAAUAAAUGUCGAGUGAUGUUACCAUACCCUUCCUGGGUACCACUUCCAGUCAAGGGUGCUUGCCCA